rnacentral:rRNA from 1 species
UACCAGCACCCCGAGUGGUCGGGACGAUUAUUGGGCCUAAAGCAUCCGUAGCCGGUUUUACAAGUCCUCCGUUAAAUCCAGCUGCUUAACAGAUGGGCUGCGGAGGAUACUAUAAGACUAGGAGGCAGGAGAGGCAAGCGGUACUCAGUGGGUAGGGGUAAAAUCCGUUGAUCCAUUGAAGACCACCAGUGGCGAAGGCGGCUUGCCAGAAUGCGCUCGACGGAUGAGGGA